rnacentral:rRNA from 1 species
UACAGAGGGUGCAAGCGUUGUUCGGAAUUAUUGGGCGUAAAGAGCUCGUAGGCGGCUUGUCGCGUCGUUCGUGAAAACCCGGGGCUCAACUCCGGGCUUGCGGGCGAUACGGGCAGGCUAGAGUUCGGUAGGGGAGACUGGAAUUCCUGGUGUAGCGGUGAAAUGCGCAGAUAUCAGGAGGAACACCGGUGGCGAAGGCGGGUCUCUGGGCCGAUACUGACGCUGAGGAGCGAAAGCGUGGGGAGCGAACAGG